rnacentral:rRNA from 1 species
ACGAACGCUGGCGGCGUGCUUAACACAUGCCAGUCGAACGGAAAGGCCCUGCUUUUGUGGGGUGCUCGAGUGGCGAACGGGGGAGUAACCCGUGAGUAACCUGCCCUUGACUUUGGGAUAACUUCAGGAAACUGGGGCUAAUACCGGAUAGGAGCUCCUGCUGCAUGGUGGGGGUUGGAAAGUUUCGGCGGUUGGGGAUGGACUCGCGGCUUAUCAGCUUGUUGGUGGGGUAGUGGCUUACCAAGGCUUUGACGGGUAGCCGGCCUGAGAGGGUGACCGGCCACAUUGGGACUGAGAUACGGCCCAGACUCCUACGGGAGGCAGCAGUGGGGAAUAUUGCACAGUGGGCGGAAGCCUGAUGCAGCAACGCCGCGUGCGGGAUGACGGCCUUCGGGUUGUAAACCGCUUUCGCCUGUGACGAAGCGUGAGUGACGGUAAUGGGUAAAGAAGCACCGGCUAACUACGUG